UUCGCGAACAUUCUUCCUAAAUGGCGGUAAAAAAAUAUCUAAAAACGUAAAAAAAGAUAAAACAAGUUAUUUCACUUGAUUCUUUCCAGGAUUUCAAUCGUUCCAAUUCUUUCUUUUGU
rnacentral:ribozyme from 11 species